GACGAACGCUGGCGGCGUGCUUAACACAUGCAAGUCGAGCGGUAAGGCCCUUUCGGGGGUACGACGAGCGGCGAACGGGUGAGUAACACGUGGGUGACCUGCCCUCAGCUCUGGGAUAAGCCUGGGAAACUGGGUCUAAUACUGGAUAUGACUCCACGGUGCAUGUCGUGGGGUGGAAAGCCUUGUGCGGCUGAGGAUGGGCCCGCGGCCUAUCAGCUUGUUGGUGGGGUGAGGCCUACCAAGGCGACGACGGGUAGCCGGCCUGAGAGGGCGACCGGCCACACUGGGACUGAGACACGGCCCAGACUCCUACGGGAGGCAGCAGUGGGGAAUCUUGCGCAAUGGGCGAAAGCCUGACGCAGCGACGCCGCGUGCGUGAAGAAGGCCUGCGGGGUUGUAAAGCACUUUCAGGUAGGGGAAGAAAAGCUUGGUGUGAAUAGCGCCGAGUCUUGACGUUA
rnacentral:rRNA from 1 species